rnacentral:rRNA from 1 species
UACGUAGGGUGCAAGCGUUAAUCGGAAUUACUGGGCGUAAAGCGUGCGCAGGCGGUUUUGUAAGUCUGUCGUGAAAUCCCCGGGCCUAACCUGGGAAUGGCGAUGGAGACUGCAAGGCUGGAGUUUGGCAGAGGGGGGUAGAAUUCCACGUGUAGCAGUGAAAUGCGUAGAGAUGUGGAGGAACACCGAUGGCGAAGGCAGCCCCCUGGGUCAAGACUGACGCUCAUGCACGAAAGCGUGGGGAGCAAACAGG